UGUGAGAAGAAAGUAAAAUUUUCCUGAAGCACCUCUUAAGAGAAAGCUCGCUAACCUUCCACAGGAGCACCUAAUGAAGAUAAUCACCAUGUAAUGCCGGACGUGGCAAGAACGACAAGGCCCCAGGCUCCCUGGUCAGCUCCAAAGAAAAGCCUGUGGGUGGAGGCGCACGUUGGCUACGUGUCGGGACCCCCUCACUCCUGAGAGCCCUGCCUGUGACCUCGCUGAGGUGACUUCCAUCCCUCUGCUCGCUGUCCAGUGUCCCCGAGAUCCAGUCUCCGGCCCCGUGAGACGAGAGCCCUGCUCCCACACUUCAGUAUCGUCAGCAUCUAUCACGGUUUAAAUUGUUCUCUAUUCUCCUAAAACACAAGCUUAGGUCUUUGAUUUUAGAUAUUUCUUUUUUUUUUCUGAUAUGACAUUUAGUUCUAUAAACUUCCAUCUACACACUGUUUUCACUAUAUUCCACGGAUUUUUAUAAGUAUUUUAAGUCGGCUCUGCACCCAGUGUGGAGCCCAACACAAGGUUUGAACUCACGCACGACUCUGAGAUCAAGAUCUGAGCUGAGAUCAAGACUUGGAUGCUUAAUAGACUGACUGAACCAGCCAGGUGUCUUUGAUUGUGAAAGUAUUGGGAUCAACCCCUUUGUUGGCCGUGUGACACACGAUGAUGCAUUCCACAGAAACAAGACAGCCCGGGACAGAACAGAAACAGAUGACCCGAUACACUCGUCUCAUCUAAAUGAUGCUACAGGUCUGCAGGCUUUCUAUUCCAAUCUGAUCUCACAAAUUCAUCCUUUUCUGUUUUCUCUGGAGUUUCAUCUUCACGGGAUGACAAUUUUUUACUAAGAGAAGUACGGAACAUAACAAGCCAGGGUUCUCCAGAGAAACUGAACCAAGAAUUGGUUUACAUGAUUAUAGAGGCUGAAAAGUCCCAGCUUCUGCAGUCAGCAAGUUGAAGACCAAAAAGAGUUGAUGGUAUAAUUUCAGUCUUAAGUCCAAAGGCCUGAGAACCAGGAGAGUCAAAGGCUGGAAACAUUUGAAAAUAGCAAGUAGUAGUGUGUGUGUGUGCAUGCGUGUGUGCUAAACAUACGGCUGAACACCUGCUAAACAUAUGACUGCAGCAGGAAAUGGAUUAGAACUAAAAGGAGGAUGACAACAGAGGGAAUCAAGGGAACAGGAAAAAAAAAAAAGAACAACAAAGUAUUUAACCUGAAAACAA